rnacentral:rRNA from 1 species
GAUGAACGCUGGCGGCGUGCCUAAUACAUGCAAGUCGAGCGAACGGACGAGAAGCUUGCUUCUCUGAUGUUAGCGGCGGACGGGUGAGGAACACGUGGAUAACCUACCUAUAAGACUUGGAUAACUUCGGGAAACCGGAGCUACUACCGGAUAAUAUUUUGAGCCUCAUGGUUCAAAAGUGAAAGACGGUCUUUCUGUCACUGAUAGAUGGAUCCGCGCUGCAUUCGCUAGUUGGUAAGGUAACGGGUUACCAAGGCAACGAUGCAUAGCCGACCUGUGGGGGUGGCCGGCCACACUAGAAGUGAGACACGGUCCAGACUCCUACGCGAGGCAGCAGUAGGGAAUCUUCCGCAAUGGGCGAAAGCCUGACGUAGCAAAGCCGCGUGAGUGAUGAAGGUCUUCGGAUCGUGAAGCUCUGUUAUUAGGGAAGAAAAUAUGUGUAAGUACCUGUGCACAUCUUGACGGUACCUAAUCAGAAAGCCACGGCUAACUACGUG